rnacentral:snRNA from 1 species
ACUCAACAUUAUUAAGUUUAAAAAGGGUGAGUUUAAGUUGUAAAAGCGGGCCCUACUUGUAUAGGGAUUAUUGAGCAACUUGUUAACCCUAAACCUGUUAUAUCGGAGUUU